UACGAAGGGGGCUAGCGUUGUUCGGAAUUACUGGGCGUAAAGCGCACGCAGGCGGAUUUAUAAGUCAGGGGUGAAAUCCCGGGGCUCAACCUCGGAAUUGCCCUUGAUACUGUCUAUCUUGAGUCCGGGAGAGGUGAGUGGAAUUCCUAGUGUAGAGGUGAAAUUCGUAGAUAUUAGGAAGAACACCAGUGGCGAAGGCGGCUCACUGGCCCGGCACUGACGAUCAUGUGCGAAAGCGUGGGGAGCAAACAGG
rnacentral:rRNA from 1 species